rnacentral:rRNA from 1 species
UACGUAGGGUGCGAGCGUUGUCCGGAAUUUAUUGGGCGUAAAGAGCUUGUAGGCGGUUUGUCGCGUCUGCCGUGAAAAUUCGAGGCUCAACCUCGAACUUGCGGUGGGUACGGGCAGAACUAGAGUGUGGUAGGGGAGACUGGAAUUCCUGGUGUAGCGGUGAAAUGCGCAGAUAUCAGGAGGAACACCGAUGGCGAAGGCAGGUCUCUGGGCCGUAACUGACGCUGAGGAGCGAAAGCGUGGGGAGCGAACAGG